rnacentral:tRNA from 1 species
GCACCAGUGGUCUAGUGGUAAAAUAGUACCAUGCCACAGUACAGACCCGGGUUUGAUUCCCGGCCAGUGCA